UACGUAGGGUCCGAGCGUUGUCCGGAAUUACUGGGCGUAAAGAGCUCGUAGGCGGUCUGUUGCGUCGGCUGUGAAAACCCGGGGCUCAACCCCGGGCCUGCAGCCGAUACGGGCAGACUAGAGUUCGGCAGGGGAGACUGGAAUUCCUGGUGUAGCGGUGAAAUGCGCAGAUAUCAGGAGGAACACCGGUGGCGAAGGCGGGUCUCUGGGCCGAUACUGACGCUGAGAAGCGAAAGCAUGGGGAGCGAACAGG
rnacentral:rRNA from 1 species